UGGGGAAUAUUGCACAAUGGGCGCAAGCCUGAUGCAGCCAUGCCGCGUGUGUGAAGAAGGCCUUCGGGUUGUAAAGCACUUUCAGCGAGGAGGAAGGUGGUGAGCUUAAUACGCUCAUCAAUUGACGUUACUCGCAGAAGAAGCACCGGCUAACUCCGUGCCAGCAGCCGCGGUAAUACGGAGGGUGCAAGCGUUAAUCGGAAUUACUGGGCGUAAAGCGCACGCAGGCGGUUUGUUAAGUCAGAUGUGAAAUCCCCCGGGCUCAACCUGGGAACUGCAUUUGAAACUGGCAAGCUAGAGUCUCNUAGAGGGGGGUAGAAUUCCAGGUGUAGCGGUGAAAUGCGUAGAGAUCUGGAGGAAUACCGGUGGCGAAGGCGGCCCCCUGGACGAAGACUGACGCUCAGGUGCGAAAGCGUGGGGCAGCAAACAGGAUUAGAUACCCUGGUAGUCCACGCUGUAAACGAUGUCGAUUUUGGAGGUUGUGCCCUUGAGGCGUGGCUUCCGGAGCUAACGCGUUUAAAAUCGACCCGCCCUGGGGGAGUACGGCCGCAAGGUU
rnacentral:rRNA from 1 species